rnacentral:rRNA from 1 species
AGUGAACGCUGGCGGUAGGCCUAACACAUGCAAGUCGAACGGCAGCACAGUAAGAGCUUGCUCUUACGGGUGGCGAGUGGCGGACGGGUGAGGAAUACAUCGGAAUCUACUUUUUCGUGGGGGAUAACGUAGGGAAACUUACGCUAAUACCGCAUACGACCUACGGGUGAAAGCAGGGGAUCUUCGGACCUUGCGCGAUUGAAUGAGCCGAUGUCGGAUUGGCUAGUUGGCGGGGUAAAGGCCCACCAAGGCGACGAUCCGUAGCUGGUCUGAGAGGAUGAUCAGCCACACUGGAACUGAGACACGGUCCAGACUCCGACGGGAGGCAGCAGUGGGGAAUAUGGGACAAUGGGCGCAAGCCUGAUCCAGCCAUACCGCGUGGGUGAAGAAGGCCUUCGGGUUGUAAAGCCCUUUUGUUGGGAAAGAAAAGCAGCAGGUUAAUACCCCGCUGUUCUGACGGUACCCAAAGAAUAAGCACCGGCUAACUUCGU